rnacentral:ncRNA from 1 species
CACAGGUUUGGUCCUGGCCUUUCCGUUGACUCUAGACAGAAUUACACAUGCAAGCAUCCACACUCUCGUGAGAAUGCCCCAAGGGUCUACAAGACACAAAGGAGCAGGCAUCAAGCACGCCAAUAGGGCAGCUCAUGACGCCUUGCCUAGCCACACCCCCACGGGAAACAGCAGUGAUAGAAAUUAAGCCAUGAACGAAAGUUUGACUAAGUUAUGUCAAAUAGGGUUGGUAAACUUCGUGCCAGCCACCGCGGCCAUACGAUUGACCCGAGUUAACGGACAUACGGCGUAAAGCGUGUUAAAGAGAACAGACAAAAUAAGAUUAAAUUUUGAUUAAGAUGUAAAAAGCCACAAUCAAAUCAUAAAUAAACGACGAAAGUGAUCUUAUCACAUACAGACACACGAUAGCUAAGACCCAAACUGGGAUUAGAUACCCCACUAUGCUUAGCCCUAAACAUAAAUAGCUAGUUAAACAAAGCUAUUCGCCAGAGAACUACUAGCUACAGCUUAAAACUCAAAGGACUUGGCGGUGCUUUAUACCCCCUUAGAGGAGCCUGUUCUGUAAUCGAUAAACCCCGAUAAACCUCACCAACCCUUGCCAAUUCAGCCUAUAUACCGCCAUCUUCAGCAAACCCUAAAAAGGAACAAAAGUAAGCUUAAUAAUUAUGCAUAAAAACGUUAGGUCAAGGUGUAGCCAAUGGGAUGGGAAGAAAUGGGCUACAUUUUCUACCCACAAAGAACACACGAAAGUUCUCAUGAAACUGACAACCAAAGGAGGAUUUAAUAGUAAGCUAGGAAUAGAGUGCUUAGCUGAACUAGGCUAUGAAGCACGCACACACCGCCCGUCACCCUCCUCAAGUACACCCAAUACCCCCUAAGCCUGCUAACCGGUAUUAAUAAUAUGAGAGGAGACAAGUCGUAACAAGGUAAGUAUACUGGAAAGUGUACUUGGAUAAC